rnacentral:tRNA from 1 species
UCCCUAGUGGCUCAGAGAUUAAAGCGUCUGCCUCCAAUGCGGGAGACCCGGGUUCGAUCCCUGGGUCAGGAA